rnacentral:rRNA from 1 species
GUGGGGAAUCUUGCGCAAUGGGCGAAAGCCUGACGCAGCCAUGCCGCGUGAAUGAUGAAGGUCUUAGGAUUGUAAAAUUCUUUCACCGGGGACGAUAAUGACGGUACCCGGAGAAGAAGCUCCGGCUAACUUCGUGCCAGCAGCCGCGGUAAUACGAAGGGGGCUAGCGUUGCUCGGAAUUACUGGGCGUAAAGGGCGCGUGGGCGGACAGCUUAGUCAGAGGUGAAAGCCCAGGGCUCAACCUUGGAAUUGCCUUUGAUACUGGCGGUCUUGAGUUUGGGAGAGGUGAGUGGAACUCCGAGUGUAGAGGUGAAAUUCGUAGAUAUUCGGAAGAACACCAGUGGCGAAGGCGACUCACUGGCCCAAUACUGACGCUGAGGCGCGAAAGCGUGGGGAGCAAACAGGAUUAGAAACCCGAGUAGUCC